AGAGUUUGAUCCUGGCUCAGAAUGAACGUUGGCGGCGUGGAUUAGGCAUGCAAGUCGAGCGAGACCCGCAAGGGGGAAGCGGCAAACGGGGUAGGAAUGGUCGGUGACGUACCCUUCGGACGGGGAUAGCCACGGGAAACUGUGGGUAAUACUCGAUAAACUCCCGGAACGUAAGAGAUUCCACCGGAGGAGCGGCCGACUUAGUAUUAGCUAGUUGGUGAGGUCAAAGCUCACCAAGGCUUCGAUGCUUAGGGGGUGUGAGAGCAUGACCCCCACCACUGGGACUGAGAUACUGCCCAGACACCUACGGGUGGCUGCAGUCGAGGAUCUUCGGCAAUGGGCGCAAGCCUGACCGAGCGACGCCGCGUGUGGGAUGAAGGCCCUUGGGUUGUAAACCACUGUCGAGGGGAAUGAAUUUGACGGAACCCUGGAAGGAAGCACGGGCUAAGUUCGUGCCAGCAGCCGCGGUAAUACGAACUGUGCGAACGUUAUUCGGAAUCACUGGGCUUAAAGGGUGCGUAGGCGGCUUGUUAAGCAGGGUGUGAAAGCCCUCGGCUCAACCUGGGUCGUGGGUU
rnacentral:rRNA from 1 species